UAUUUCUUAUGCACUCAAGAUGUUUGAAAAAAUGCCUAAUAGAAUGACAAAAAAAAGUGGAUUUAUAAUUAAUAAUAUUCUAAUAUAUAUAUAUACACUUAUAAGCUUUAUUUAGGCAUGAGUUUAAUCUCUCUAUUUUUCUGAGUUCUAUAGAUAUUAUAUAUAUAACUCUUCUUUGUUUUGACUACUAUUAUAUAAAUUAAUUUGUUCAUUUACUUUUUUUGGCAGAGGAAGAUUAAAUUAUCAUAUAUAAAGCUCAGGUGUAGUUUUAGAAGUGGAAGAGAGUAGCUUUGGGCCUUAUCACCAGCAUAUAUAGCCUUCUUUGUGGUUAUAGAUUGGAAACAGAGGAAUUGUAGCUGUUGGAGAGAAUUGCAAGUCCCUGACAGAUCUUAGCCUUCGAUUUUGUGAUAGGGUCGGGGACGAGGCACUUGUUGCCAUUGGUAAGUGUAACUCCCUACAAUAUCUAAACGUUAGUGGCUGUCAUCAAAUUGGUGAUGCUAGAAUAAUGGCCAUUGCAAGAGGUUGUCCUCAACUUACCUACCUAGACGGGAGUGUUCUCUAGGUAUAUUGAGAUGAUUUCUUUGGAGCAAUUCUUGACAACAUUUGUAGUUGAGGCCUUUAAAAUGGAAGAAUGUAUUUCACUAAUUUUUGUAUACAUUUCUUGUUUUGUAUUUAGUGAUUAAGGAAUCUGAAUUGGGCAUAAAUUAUGUUGUAAUAUGAUUUCUUAAGCCUAGACUAGUAGACUAAAUAUUGUAAUUACAAUUUGAGUAAUUAAUAAAAAUCUAUUUAUGUUACCUUA